CAUCACUCUGUUUCUUUAUUGGAAAUCCGAACACCCCAGCCGCCUUCGCAAGUCUCUCCAACCACUCCUACCAGCACCCCGCGGCCCACGCGGUCUUGGCUCUCACCCACGCCUGCCCGAGGGCGGCCCCCGGCCUAGGCUCCAGGCAACGCUCAGGCCUAGGCACCCCAUUCUGCACCCCACACUGCCCAGAGGACCGGCACAGAGCAGAUCCUGGGCCUCAGGUUGUGAUGAAUUUCCAGCUUUGGGGCAAAAACAGGCAUCCUCUGUUCUCUGUCAUACAUGUGGUGGCUGCCCCUGGGAGUCUGAUCAGGUCUGAAGGCCAGCGUCUUUGAUCUCCUGGAGGUAGAGGUUCUUCAGCUUAGGAAGAUUGAUUCCCAGGGUGCUUUCCAGCUGGUUCCCCCGAAGCUCCACUGUGUGCAGGCUGAUCAACUUCUCGGGGUCCAGAC
rnacentral:lncRNA from 1 species